rnacentral:rRNA from 1 species
UACUCUACGGGGAGCCAGCAGUGGGGAAAUUUGCACAAUGGGGGCGGGCCUGAUGCAGCCAUGCCGCGUGAGUGAAGAAGGCCUUCGGUUUGUAAAGCUCUUUCGCGUGGAGGAAAGGGGUUGGCUAAUAUCGGCUGCCUCUGACGGUACCCUGACAAAAGCACCGGCUAACUACGUGCCCCAGCCGGGAAUUA